UCAGCUCGUGUCGUGAGAUGUUGGGUUAAGUCCCGCAACGAGCGCAACCCUUAUUACUAGUUGCCAGCAUUAAGUUGGGCACUCUAGUGAGACUGCCGGUGACAAACCGGAGGAAGGUGGGGACGACGUCAAAUCAUCAUGCCCCUUAUGACCUGGGCUACACACGUGCUACAAUGGAUGGUACAACGAGUCGCGAGACCGCGAGGUUAAGCUAAUCUCUUAAAACCAUUCUCAGUUCGGACUGUAGGCUGCAACUCGCCUACACGAAGUCGGAAUCGCUAGUAAUCGCGGAUC
rnacentral:rRNA from 1 species